GAUGAACGCUGGCGGCGUGCCUAAUACAUGCAAGUCGAGCGAACGGACGAGGAGCUUGCUUCUCUGAUGUUAGCGGCGGACGGGUGAGUAACACGUGGAUAACCUACCUAUAGGACUGGGAUAACUUCGGGAAACCGGAUCUAAUACAGGAUAAUAUGUUGAACCGCAUGGUUCAACAGUGAAAGACGGUUUUGCUGUCACUUAUAGAUGGAUCCGCGCUGCAUUAGCUAGUUGGUAAGGUAACGGCUUACCAAGGCAACGAUGCGUAGCCGACCUGAGAGGGUGAUCGGCCACACUGGAACUGAGACACGGUCCAGACUCCUACGGGAGGCAGCAGUAGGGAAUCUUCCGCAAUGGGCGAAAGCCUGACGGAGCAACGCCGCGUGAGUGAUGAAGGUCUUCGGAUCGUAAAACUCUGUUAUUAGGGAAGAACAGAUGUGUAAGUAACUCUGCACGUUUUGACGGUACCUAAUCAGAAAGCCACGGCUAACUACGUG
rnacentral:rRNA from 1 species